UUACGUCAAAUUACAUAUUGAAUGAAAAAGAAAAUUACAAUUUCUUUUAGCGCUAUGUAAUGGUAGUCAGGUAUAGUAGUCAUGCCUUUGCUCUAGCUUAUAUAUUCAUGUCUAUGUUACUUUCACACUUCUAUUUAUUAAUUUCAUGAAGUCAGUGGGUUUGCAAAAUGAAAGAAUCGUCAUCCUUUUUAAACCACUAGUCCUAAUGUUUCAAAUGAAUUUUCCAAUUUCUUUUUGGGCUGAUGUUUCCAUAGCCCGUUUCUUAACAAAUUGCAUGCCCUCUUCCAUUUUUAAGGGUGAGAUACCUUUUUGUAUCUUAUGCCCCAAACAACAUUUGUUUCUCAUUCCACCCAAAAUAAUUGGUUAUACUUGAUUUGUCCAAGACGUUCGGCCUCAACAUACAAAGUUGGAUCCAAAGACCUUAAAAUAUAUCUUUUUGGUUAUUCUCGUGUUCUUUGAACAUUCCUCCUUUUAUUCCUCACCUUCUUUCUCUUCGAAUAUGAGUCGAGGGAGUAUCAAGAGUCAAAGGAUGAUUUCUUUAUCUACAAUGUUAUCUCUCCUUCUAAUCCUCUUUGUGGUUCAUCUUCACGUGUGUUUACUUCUAUUUGUCAACCCAUCACUGAAGUCUAUGAUCGACGACAACCUUCUUCAAUUCCAUGCCCUACCCCUAAGGCUUCUUCGUCAUUGGAUCCAGAAAUGAGUGAUGAUCUUCCUAUUGCUCUUCGUAAAGUUCCAUCAUGCUGUCUAAAGUUUGGACUUGAAGGGUUUGUCCUCAUCUUCCUUCUUCCCCGACGAUUUACGUCAUACAGAUGAGGCUGUGAUGCUGAUAUUAACGUGAUUGUAAAUAUAGAAAGUGUAUACUCCAUACCAAAUUUGCAUUCAAUUAUUACAGCUUCUGAUGGGGCAAUGGUUGUCAGAGGUGAUCUUGGUGCAGAACUUUUUAUUGAAGAGGUUCCUCCUGUAGUUAACUUUUUCAAUAAUAAUAAUAUUAAAAAAGAAGCGAUCCUUUGGGUACCUUAGAUAACUUUUUUAAUUAUCUUAAAUUCAUGUCUUUUUUAAGCUUAUGCAAAAUUGGGAAGUUUUAGUUUCAUGUUUAGAUAUAUAUACAUGUUAGGACGAAUCAUAAUGAAAUUCAGCAUUUGGGUUGUUUGCUUUUGACUAGUCUGAAUGGUGUGGUUUAGCUUGUUUGGCUCAAUCAAAAGAUUAUUAAGAACUUGUUUAAUCAAGCUAAUUUUUUUGUUGUU